GCCCUGCCUCCUCCCUGGCCCUUCACAGGACAUUUUCUUCCAACAGGUAGAAAAGGAUGGAGCUACUCUCAGGCUUCGUGUAGCAACAGUACCCAGGGAUCUGAUGAGUCUCUCACAGCUUAUAAAACCUGAGACAGCUGCCUUGUGUGCGACUGAGAUGCAGGAUUUCUUCACGCCUCCCCUUUGUGUCUUAAGGGACUCUGGCUUCUCUUUUUGCAAGGGCCUCUGAAUCUGUCUGUGUCCCUGUUAGCAUAAUGUGAGGAGGCAGACAAACAUCCACCUCCGUGUCUACCAUGACCCCCUUCCUCACACUGACCUGUGUGCCUUCCCUGUUCUCCUACUUUUCUAUUAAAAAUAAGAACCUGAGCA